rnacentral:lncRNA from 1 species
GUGCCGGCUGAUGACGACGGCGAUAAAGUCUACGACCCUGAGGGCGGGUCGCAGUCAUCUAGCGUUGGGGAUGAGCCCACCUUAGAUUCUCAUACCCCCGAGAAGCUCACUGGCAAGCGUGGCCGCAGUCGCUCAGAGGUGCGGACUCCAUGCAUUUUCACCUUUAUGUGAUUGAAUGCUUCCUGUUUCCGACCAUCAUCACCCGCCCCCUGUCCCCCACCUCCGCUCAUGUCCUUCAGAACUUCUCAAACGAUGAGAAUGUCGGCAUGGUAGCCUUGUGGGUCCAGUUGUGUGUGCAGAAGAGCCGCAUCCACAGCAGCCAUCACGGCCACCACAUGUCCUAACAGGACCAGCUUGCAUUCCUGGACAAGCACAAGGCGGCCCAUGGCCUCGCUCGACGAUCAUCAAAGCAGAUGUAUAACAAGGCAAACAUUUGCAGUGAAUGCCUGCUGCACUGUCCUGAAUGGUCGACUCAUUGUUGAAAUAUGGGCAAUUUGGAUUCUUUGCCGGUCCUGCUCGGAAUUACACUGGUCAACGAGACAUUUGCGGCUAUGGACAACAGAAGUCAACGAAGAGGAAGAAAAAUGGCUGACUAAGAAUUUUCCCGCUUUGAAGCUAAUGUCCAGGACUGAGGCCUUAAUAACUAUUGUGCCACUUAUGUGGGCUUAGUGUACGAGACGUUUCCACUGGGCCCUUCGGCUUUUCGCGUACGGGCCCCUUUACGCGAAAUGUUAGAUAAUCUUUACUGUGUUCGACUAAUACCUGACGGGUGAUUCGUUGUUCCAGGAGCAAGAUUUCUGGAACUUUAUGUUAGUGUUCGGCAGAGUGGAAGCACCCUGUACAUUCGGGCCUUCUCAGGACGGGGUUUUCUUAAUGCCGUUAGGAAAGUAGGAUUUUUGCCUGGUGACGAGCAAUUAGAAAGGAUCUUUUAUAUUUGUUUAAUAUUUUGUUUCGUCCUUGCUCGUCCAUGGCCCACUUGCUCGUCCGCAGUGGCACAGCAGCAGGCAGUAGGUUCCCUGUUCUUUCCACCGUUUUGUUGAAUCAGAUAAGAUCCAAAUGUGAAAGAUAACUCUCUCCUAGCAAAAGCCAGCUCCAUGCUUGCCUUCUGUCGGUGUAGUCUAUGCCGACAAUUAAUGUAAGAUUAAUUGUGGC